GGAUAACCAAAGUAGAAAUGAGAAUGAAAGGAAGAUACUCCUGUUUGGAAAGAAAAUACUAACAAUAUGUACAGGAAAAUACAAGGUAUACUUUGGAGAUGACAAGUAAAAAUUUUGCCAGGAGCACAGAUGUAAUAGCAAUUUGAGAAGUAAAGCUGAAGGGUAGGAUCCUGAUGUAGAGAAUGCUGGACCCAGGCUGAGCUUGGACUUUACAUCAAGUAGAAGUGGUAGAGAAAGAUUAAUUGCCUCUCUGCAUUGGACUAGUGCCAUCGUCUUCCAAAAGCUAAAAAGAAGCACUUUAGGCCUUCAAGGGCUAGUUAUCUAAAAACCACACUUGAUUUGUUCUUAAGUCUCAGCUCCUGGGCAUAUGAGGAACUUUUUCUGGAGUUUUGGAAAAUUCCUCAUGCCCUCAGAUCCUAUUAAGACCUCUGGC
rnacentral:lncRNA from 1 species